GUCUUCAUGUGUCGGCUUAUGAGAAAUAAACGCUUCUGCACACUUUAAAUAAUUAAAAUUGCAGGGAAUGCUGGAAAGCUGAUAGUAAAUGAAGAUAGAAGGCUUAUCAGCAGACGUUUCAUCACUGUGCCAGGUGACAUCAUCAGUGGACCCUCCAAUGAAGCAAUGUUAUUCUACUCAACUUAGAAUUUAUACUGGUCCAUUAUGUUACCUGAACAACCAAGUGAUGGAAGAAUGGGCUAAUUUUAACCAAGCCUGCUCAGAGGCUGAUGAAGACAAGGACAAGCUUGUUUAACAGAGAUAGUGGGAAGUGCAGAAGCUGGAGAAUCCGAGAUAACAAAGUGUUGAGCUGGAUGAACACAGCAGGCCAAGCAGCAUCUUAGGAGCACAAGCUUUUAAUUUAAUAUCUCAUACAAAAGAUGAUUGUACUGAUAAUGAGCAUUCCGUCAGUACUGCAUUGAAUUUCAGUCUAAAUGAUAUGCAGAAAUCUUGGAGUUUGUCUUUAAUCCACAAGUCGGCAACGAUAAGGGAAGAUCCUGCCAACUGAUACAGUAUAUUAUGUUCCUGGCAACGAGUUCACAUAGUUAGCACCAAAUCUGUUGUCACAAGUUAGAAACCAAUGACAGUACAGGGUAAUUAGACACAAGAUUUACAACUGACUAAUGACUUCAAUUCCCAUUGGUAAUUCUGUGAUUUGUCAUCUUGCAGCUUACUUAUCUGUGUGUUUCCUCCACAGAGACCACUAAUUGAUCAGGGCUUUCCAACCAUGUUUCUGGUGUGAGAUGCUAAAGCUGUCACCCAACAGCCCUAAGUAACACACAUUGAAGGACAGCAAGUAUUUAUAUCCCCUCAAUGCAUUGUCACUAUGGUUGGAGGUGCUUUCCAAUUGUACCCCCAUUCCAACAACAAUUUGACUUAGGCUGUAAAAGACUCAAAUUUAUUUGGCACCUUUCACAAACUCAGGACAUUUCCAAUAUGCAUUACAGCUAAUUCAGUACUACAGAAGUGUGCUAACUGUUAUUAUGUAGGAUAAUGCAAUGGUCAGUUUCAGCACAGCAAGCUCCCAUAAGCAGCAAUGCAAUAAAUGAGUUAAUCUGUUUUCGGAUGUGGAUUAUGUGAUGAAUGUGUCAUGACAAAUCCCCUGCUUGCUUCUGAAUCGUUCCAUUGAAUGUAUUACAUCCAUUUUAGAGAACAAUGUAAAUAGGCAAUAGGUGAAAGAUUGUAGACUUGAAAUAUUAUCUCUGUUUGUUUGUCCAGAGAUGUUGUCUAUCUGAGUGUUCCCCAUUUAAAUUUCAGCUUUCCAACAUCUGCAGUGUUUUACUGUUUUGUCAGCUUUGAGCAUCUGCUCUGAUACCACCAGAUGUGACUUGGAUAUUCAAUUAUGCAUCAAGAUACAUUAGCACUUGUUUUUUUGUUAAAGGUGCAAGUUGGUACAGCCCAGGAAUUUUAACCAAGAGUAGAGUAUGGCCUGAAAUCCUGGAUUGAGCCUUUAACCAGGGCUUUCUGUCUCAGAGAUGAGAGUGCUACGAGUCAGCCAAUACUGACACACUGGUUUGCCAAAAACAAAUCAAAUCAUUCAGUUAUCCCUUUUAAAAUUUAAUGACAUUUUCGAUUUGUCAACCUCUCCCUCCUCCACCAAACACAUUCACCCCUUCAGACUCUCUCUAUUCUUGAGACACCAAUGCUAAUUGAGACACAGUUCUGUGCUCACUGCAAGGGUCCGUGUGUUCAGCAGAUAUUCUGCUGUCACUUUUAUACCUAGAACAGGUCUUUUUACCUAUGUGUACCUAAAGCAUAUGUGACCCUGUGGUGAAUGAGCUUGAACACAGCUGAGUCUAUCUCUGGCUGAUGCCAGAGAAG